rnacentral:lncRNA from 1 species
GGCCGGGAUCGGAAGUGCCACGCGGAGCCGAGCAGGGGCUCUUUGCGCGCGGCGAUCAUCCCUUCAGAAGCAGCGGCUCUCCCGAGGGAAGGCCCGAUCCGCUUUCCAAGGCUGCUGGGUCUGUCUCUUGGCCGCGGGGCCAGCUCUCUGUUACCGGUUCAGAGCCGGCGCUGAGGGAGCGUCCCACUGCAUUGGAAGUUGACUCCAGCUCCCUGGUUCCCAGUGUACCAGCUGCACCGGCACACCUCGUGCACCGGCACCUGUACACUAGCUGUCCGGUCCCCUGGCCAAGAGGAGGGCUAGCGUGGAAAGGACGGAGCCCCAGCUCUGCAGACACACAGCCUUGAUUGACAGCCGAGCCCCGAGCCUCAGUUUCCUCACCAGAGACUUCCAAGUCCAAGAGCCUGAGGAGGGGGAUACAAGAUGCUGGUGAUUGGUGGAGCCAGUGACCAAUCAGAGGACACAGCUUGUGCAAGAGGAAGCCUGAAGAGCACGUGAGAGGGAUGGAGAAGUGUCCCUGGGUGAAUGAGCAGGGUCACCAGAGAGGACUAGGGGAUUCCCAGGAGGAGGGCCCCAGAGGGUGCUGUGGAAGAUGUGGUCCAAGCCAAGCUGCCACAGGAGAGGAGAGAGGAAGAAGGAUCCUGGCUGGGAGUGGGCAUCCCAGGCAGGAGCAGGAAGAGCUGGAGCACCUAGAACCCACAGAAGCCGGGAAGGUGGAUGCAGAGGUAUGUAGCACCAGGAUUGCUACAGCAAUGGUGAGGAAGGUGGACUGACAGGCUGCAGGCUGGGCAGACCCCAGACCUCACUCGGAAGAGGAUGGCAGUCCCAGGCCCCAACUUGCGCUCCUGUGAACACAGACAAAGCCCUAGAGAUUUAGAGAUGCAGGAGCUCUGACCAGUCUCCAACCCAGCACUCUGCCUCCAUGUGCAGUUAGGUAAACUGAGGUCCAGAGUGGAUAAGGAACUCACUGCUGGUCACACCGCCAGUUUCGAGCAGGGCCAGAUCCCCAACUUCAAAUCUGAGACACCUGCUCUGUCCUCUGCAAAAGUUCAACUUUCACCAAGCACCAGGUCCCUUUCCCAGCCUCCUCACCGGUUCAAAGUUGAGCUGCUGCAUCGCCCCACCUCAGGGGAAGAAGUGUCUGCAGCAAGAGCCAACUGCUCCAUGAGAGGUUUUGUGUGUGACCGCGGGCCAAAGCACUGGGAGCAGCAGGUGGCGGUCAUGUGUUGUGUGUCAGCUGCCAUCCUAAGCACUUUACAGGGUUUGCCACCACCUGGAGGAGGUGAGGGAUCCCAAACACACCCAGAGGGUCCUUGCCCUGAUGUGAGCAGUUACCAGCAGGGCUCCGAAAUACUCAGGCGAAGAGCAAGGGACUGGACCCUGCUCAGUGAAAGAUGCCAUCACCCAUCUAGACAACCAGCCAGCAUCUGGGGCCACCCUGGUCACCUCUCACACACCACAUCUGUCACCUCCACGCCCUGUACAGUCAAUCCCAAAGGAUCUUCCAAAUACAGCUACCUCUCUCUGUCUCAAAUGGGCCCCACCCCUUGAGGCCACCAGCAUCCUCGCUCUGCACACUGCCAUAGUCUUGCCCUAACACGUAUCUUCCCUGCUCUCUGGCCCCUGGAAACUUCUCCAGUCACAUGUGAUGUGGUCCUCUCUGCUGUCAGACCUCCAAAGGCUCUGUUGGCCUUGGGAUAAAGAAAGCAAUAACACGCGGAAAAAAGUACCACCUGGUCAUUUUGCAGAGAGACAGACAGAGGGCACCAGUGAGAUCACUCAAGGGCAGUCUAACCACUCAGGUCUCCUGGUUCCUGGUUCAGUGAUCUCAAAGCAUCGACCGUAUUGGUUCCUCCCACCCAGGACCAUGAGCCCUUUGGCCAUUCUUUGUUGGUUCCCACCUUGGCCCAGAGGAAAAAGGAAAAGAGUUUGGGUCUCUUCCUCCUGCUACUGAGAGCCACAAUCUUGCAUAGAAGUUCUAUAGCUGGGGACAGUAACAUGCGCCUGUAGUCCCAGCUCUUGGGAGACUGAGGCAGGAGAAUCACUUAUGCCCAGGAGUUAGAAGCCAGCCUGGGCAUCAUAGCGAAACCCCAUCUCAAAAAUAAAUAAAAAGGGCUA